ACGGACAAGGGGAAUCCGAC
rnacentral:snRNA from 1 species